UACGUAGGGGGCAAGCGUUAUCCAGAUUUACUGGGCGUAAAGCGCGUGUAGGCGGCUGGUUAGGUGUGAUGUGAAAUCUUCGGGCUCAACCCGAAAACUGCAUUGCAAACCGGCCUGGCUAGAGUGCAGGAGAGGGAAGCGGAAUUCCAGGUGUAGCGGUGAAAUGCGUAGAUAUCUGGAGGAACACCGGUGGCGAAGGCGGCAUCCUGGACCGGCAUUGACGCUGAGGCGCGAAAGCUAGGGGAGCAAACGGG
rnacentral:rRNA from 1 species